UACGAAGGGGGCUAGCGUUGUUCGGAAUUACUGGGCGUAAAGCGCGCGUAGGCGGCUUAUCAAGUCAGGGGUGAAAUCCCGGGGCUCAACCCCGGAACUGCCUCUGAAACUGGUAGACUAGAAUCCUGGAGAGGCGAGUGGAAUUCCGAGUGUAGAGGUGAAAUUCGUAGAUAUUCGGAAGAACACCAGUGGCGAAGGCGACUCGCUGGACAGGUAUUGACGCUGAGGUGCGAAAGCGUGGGGAGCAAACAGG
rnacentral:rRNA from 1 species